AUUGAACGCCUGCGGCAGGCUUAACACAUGCAAGUCGAGCGAGCGGCGUACGGGUGCGUUAUGUCUGGGCAACUGCCUGAUGGAGCGGGCUCACUACUGGAUACGGUAGCUAAUACCGCAUACCAUCAGAUGUGCCCAGAUGGGAUUCGCUAGUAGGUGGGGUAAUGGCUCACCUAGGCGACGAUCCCUAGCUGGUCUGGGAGGAUGACCAGCCAACCUGGAACUGAGACACGGUCCAGAGUCCUACGGGAGGCAGCAGUGGGGAAUAUUGGACCAUGGGCGAAAGCAUGGUCCGGACCGGACGCGUGGGAGAAGAAGGCCUUAGGGUUGUAAAGCACUUACAGAGAGGAGGCGUUGCUCGCAGAAGAAACACCGGCUAAGGCCAUGCCAGCGGCCGCGGUAAUUC
rnacentral:rRNA from 1 species